GUGAGACGAAAAAAAUAGGUUUGUGUGUCUGAUGAUGUGUGUCCCUUCUCUUUUCAUCUGAUGAGGUUUAUGUCCCUUCGCCUAAAUCUGUGAGAUUGGGUUGGAAAAUCCUCUGAUUGCUUGAUUCUCUCUUUAUUUAGAAUAUUCUGGAUUGUCAUCAAUUUCUUUGAUUUCUUUCCUCGUAUGACUUCUGCCACGUGCAUGAAAAUCCUUCGAAAAUCUUGGGUCUGAUUCCAUGGGUUGAGCUUGGACAUGCAAAACUUUGGCUUGACAUUUGGUGGAACCUUGUGACCUUUAAGUCUCUGGAAUUCUAAACCUCUGGAGUUCUAGGCUUGCCCAAUGGGAGGCCACAUCCUUUAGCUAAUGGGAGGCCACAUGCUUGGCCAAUGAGAGGUCCCUCCUUGGUGGAUUUGGUCUAGGUAGACCUCUUGUUAGCAGAUUGGAGACUAACUUUGCGAAGGAUUGGAGAUUCCUCCUUGACGGAUUUCACCUUGGCGGAUUUGUUCUAGGUGGACCUCUUCUUGGUGGAUUGGAGAUCUGGAGGAUUUGGAGAUUCCUCCUUGGUGGAUUGGAGGUCUCCGACUUAAGGGAUUGGAGACCAACUCUUUGGAGGUUUUAGAGAUUCCUUCUUGGCAUAUUGGAGACCAACCCACCGAUGGAUUUGCAUAUUCCUCCUUGGCGGUUUGGAGGUCUUCGAAAUUGGCACAUUGGAGACUAGCCCUCCGGAAGAUUGGAGGUUCUUCCUUGGUAGAUUUCACCUUGGCGGAUCUCAUCUCGGCGAAUCUGACCUCAGUGGGCCUUAUCUUAGCGGAUCUCACCUUGACGGAUUUGGGAAAAUUUGACCACCCCCAAACACAUACUUUAUGAAUUUAUUGAAUUAUAUAGGUCCUCCUUUUUCCCUUUAGGUUUAGAGAUUUAAUUUAUAUAUGAGUG
rnacentral:lncRNA from 1 species